UUCGCAAUGCCCGAAAGGGUGACGAAGCGACGCCGCGUGGGUGAGGAAGGCCUUCGGGUUGUAAAGCCCUGUCAGGAGUUAAGAAAUCUAAGUGCGCUAAUAUCGCAUUUAUUUGACGAAGGCUCCAAAGGAAGCCACGGCUAACUCUGUGCCAGCAGCCGCGGUAAUACAGAGGUGGCAAGCGUUGUUCGGAAUUAUUGGGCGUAAAGAGCACGUAGGUGGGUUUGUAAGUCAGAUGUGAAAGCCUUCUGUUCAACGGAAGAAUUGCAUCUGAAACUGCGAGUCUUGAGUGUAGGAGGGGAGAAUGGAACUUCUGGUGGAGCGGUGAAAUGCGUAGAUAUCAGAAGGAACGCCGGCGGCGAAAGCGAUUCUCUGGCCUAUUACUGACACUCAGUGUGCGAAAGCUAGGGGAGCAAACGGGAUUAGAUACCCCGGUAGUCCUAGCCGUAAACGAUGGGCACUAAGUAGAGGGGUUUU
rnacentral:rRNA from 1 species